UACGUAGGGGGCAAGCGUUGUCCGGAAUCAUUGGGCGUAAAGAGCGUGUAGGCGGCUCGAUAAGUCUGCUGUGAAAGUCCAGGGCUCAACCCUGGAAGGCCGGUGGAAACUGUCGGGCUAGAAUCCGGAAGAGGCGAGUGGAAUUCCCGGUGUAGCGGUGAAAUGCGCAGAUAUCAGGAGGAACACCAAUAGCGAAGGCAGCUCGCUGGGACGUUACUGACACUAAGGCGCGAAAGCGUGGGGAGCGAACAGG
rnacentral:rRNA from 1 species